rnacentral:rRNA from 1 species
UACAGAGGGGGCAAGCGUUACUCGGAAUUAUUGGGCGUAAAGGGCGCGUAGGCGGCUUGGCAAGUGGAAGGUGAAAUCCCUCGGCUUAACCGGGGAACUGCGUCUGAUACUGGAUGGCUUGAGUUUGGGAGAGGGACGCGGAAUUCCAGGUGUAGCGGUGAAAUGCGUAGAUAUCUGGAGGAACACCGGUGGCGAAGGCGGCGUCCUGGACCAACACUGACACUGAGGAGCGAAAGCCAGGGGAGCAAACGGG